CCUACGGGAGGCAGCAGUGAGGAAUAUUGGUCAAUGGCCGAGAGUCUGAACCAGCCAAGUCGCGUGAAGGAUGACUGCCCUAUGGGUUGUAAACUUCUUUUAUCUGGGAAUAAAAUGUUCCACGUGUGGGCUUUUGUAUGUACCCUAUGAAUAAGGAUCGGCUAACUCCGUGCCAGCAGCCGCGGUAAUACGGAGGAUCCGAGCGUUAUCCGGAUUUAUUGGGUUUAAAGGGGGCGUAGGUGGAUUGUUAAGUCAGUUGUUAAAGUUUGCGGCUCAACCGUAAAAUUGCAGUUGAAACUGGCAGUCUUGAGUGAAGUAGAGGUGGGCGGAAUUCGUGGUGUAGCGGUGAAAUGCUUAGAUAUCACGAAGAACUCCGAUUGCGAAGGCAGUACACUGGAGUGCAACUGACACUGAGGCUCGAAAGUGUGGGUAUCAAACAGGAUUAGAUACCCGAGUAGUC
rnacentral:rRNA from 1 species